rnacentral:rRNA from 1 species
AUUGAACGCUGGCGGCAGGCUUAACACAUGCAAGUCGAGCGGGGGAAGGUAGCUUGCUACCGGACCUAGCGGCGGACGGGUGAGUAAUGCUUAGGAAUCUGCCUAUUAGUGGGGGACAACAUCUCGAAAGGGAUGCUAAUACCGCAUACGUCCUACGGGAGAAAGCAGGGGAUCUUCGGACCUUGCGCUAAUAGAUGAGCCUAAGUCGGAUUAGCUAGUUGGUGGGGUAAAGGCCUACCAAGGCGACGAUCUGUAGCGGGUCUGAGAGGAUGAUCCGCCACACGGGGCCUGAGACACGGCCCAGACUCCUACGGGAGGCAGCAGUGGGGAAUAUUGGACAAUGGGGGGAACCCUGAUCCAGCCAUGCCGCGUGUGUGAAGAAGGCCUUAUGGUUGUAAAGCACUUUAAGCGAGGAGGAGGCUACUCUAGUUAAUACCUAGGGAUAGUGGACGUUACUCGCAGAAUAAGCACCGGCUAACUCUGUGCCAGCCGCCGCGGUAA